rnacentral:rRNA from 1 species
AACGAACGCUGGCGGCACGCCUAACACAUGCAAGUCGAACGGUAACGGCUCUUCGGAGGCCGACGAGUGGCGGACGGGUGAGUACGCGUAGCUACCUGCCCUCUGGCGGGGGACAACAGUUGGAAACGACUGCUAAUACCGCAUAUCUCCUACGGGAGAAAGACCUUCGGGUCACCAGAGGAGGGGGCUGCGUUGGAUUAGCUAGUUGGUAGGGCAAAGGCCUACCAAGGCGAUGAUGGAUAGCCGGCCUGAGAGGGUGAACGGCCACACUGGAACUUAGACACGGUCCAGACUCCUACGGGAGGCAGCAGUGGGGAAUAUUGCGCAAUGGGCGAAAGCCUGACGCAGCGACGCCGCGUGGGGGAUGAAGGUCUUCGGAUUGUAAACUCCUGUUAAGUGGGAAGAAAGGCUCGCUUUUAAUAGAGGCGAGAGAUGACGGUACCAUUAGAGAAAGCACCGGCUAACUUCGUG